rnacentral:lncRNA from 1 species
GGAGGUCCCAUGGCAUAUUUUACAUAGAAUAAGAAUAAGUCAAUGAAUUAUGGCUGAGGUUGAUAUGCACCUACACCAGAAGAAGAGAAUAUUGUCUACAAAUAAAAAUUGUAUUGAUUUUUUUUUUUUUGUAUAUUAUAGUUUUCAUUAGUAGGGAAAACAUGGAAAUGUCCCAAUGUACAUAGCUCGAUAUAAUAAGUCAAUGAAUACGGAAUUAAAACGAAAAAUAACACAGAAGAAUAUAAUACACGGACUAUAUAUUUAAUAUGUGGAGAAUUAUGCAUCAAUGUGUAAACGUUGGGGACCUCUUCUUCUACUUAUUAAAGCUCUUUUAUUAUUCUUUAUAUUUUAAUUUUUUUUUUUUACCAUAUGUUUUU